rnacentral:rRNA from 1 species
CGAAAGCCUGACGCAGCAACGCCGCGUGAGGGAACGAAGACCCUCGGGUUGUAAACCUCUUUCAGCAGGGACGAAGCGAAAGUGACGGUACCUGCAGAAGAAGCACCGGCUAACUACGUGCCAGCAGCCGCGGUAAUACGUAGGGUGCGAGCGUUGUCCGGAUUUAUUGGGCGUAAAGGGCUCGUAGGCGGUCCGUCACGUCGGAAGUGAAAACCCGGGGCUCAACUCCGGGCCUGCUUUCGAUACGGGCGGACUUGAGUUCGGUAGGGGAGACUGGAAUUCCUGGUGUAGCGGUGGAAUGCGCAGAUAUCAGGAGGAACACCAAUGGCGAAGGCAGGUCUCUGGGCCGAUACUGACGCUGAGGAGCGAAAGCGUGGGGAGCGAACAGGAUUAGAUACCCUGGUAGUCCACGCCGUAAACGGUGGGCGCUAGGUGUGGGAAACUAUCUACGUUUUCCGCGCCGCAGCUAACGCAUUAAGCGCCCCGCCUGGGGAGUACGGCCGCAAGGCUA